rnacentral:rRNA from 1 species
GACGAACGCUGGCGGCGUGCUUAACACAUGCAAGUCACGGGGGCGUCGCAAGGGCAACCGGCGAACGGGUGCGUAACACGUGAGCAACUUACCGAUUUGUGGGGGAUAGCCGGCCCAACGGCCGGGUAAUACCGCAUACGCUCUUUGGGUGGAGUCACCUGAAGAGGAAACCUCCGGGGCAAAUCGAGGGGCUCGCGGCCUAUCAGCUAGUUGGGUGCGGGUAACGGCCCACCAAGGCGAUGACGGGUAGCGGUCUGAGAGGAUGGCCAGCCA